GAUGAAGAACGUAGCGAAACGCGGUAGUUAAUGUGAAUUGCAGAAUUCAGUGAAUCAUCGAGUCUUUGAACGCACAUUGCGCCUUUUGGUAUUCCGAAAGGCAUGUCUGUUUGAGCGUCAUUACAACUCCUCGUUAACAAAUUUUUGUGAACGGUCUUGAGCGUCUGGUGGCGUGCCUCGCGCACGGCCGGCUCUAAAGUCAAUAAUGAAAUGCUCUGCCAGCCGUCUGGAAAAACUUUACGUAGUAAUACUUUACAACCGUUCUGCUUGACAGUCGUGCCCGGCCUGAAAAACCUUACUCAACCUCUUUAGGUUUGACCUCAGAUCAGACAAGGAUACCCGCUGAACUUAAGCAUAUCAAUAAGCGGAGGA
rnacentral:misc_RNA from 1 species